ACAGCAGUAGCCGCGGGAAUACGAAGGGUGCAAGCGUUACUCGGAAUUACUGGGCGUAAAGCGUGCGUAGGUGGUGGUUUAAGUCCGUUGUGAAAGCCCUGGGCUCAACCUGGGAAUUGCAGUGGAUACUGGGUCACUAGAGUGUGGUAGAGGAUAGUGGAAUUUCCGGUGUAGCAGUGAAAUGCGUAGAGAUCGGAAGGAACAUCUGUGGCGAAGGCGACUAUCUGGGCCAACACUGACACUGAGGCACGAAAGCGUGGGGAGCAAACAGGAUUAGAUACCCGCGUAGUCCCUGUCUCUUAUAC
rnacentral:rRNA from 1 species